rfam:Trichoderma reesei QM6a unplaced genomic scaffold TRIREscaffold_7, whole genome shotgun sequence.
GCCCGGUUAGCUCAAUCGGUAGAGCGUGAGACUCUUAAUCGAGAACACGUUCUGAUGCAAUCUCAAGGUUGCGGGUUCGACCCCCGCAUCGGGCU